GGAAACAGGUGCUAAUACCGUAUAACACUAUUUUCCGCAUGGAAGAAAGUUGAAAGGCGCUUUUGCGUCACUGAUGGAUGGACCCGCGGUGCAUUAGCUAGUUGGUGAGGUAACGGCUCACCAAGGCCACGAUGCAUAGCCGACCUGAGAGGGUGAUCGGCCACACUGGGACUGAGACACGGCCCAGACUCCUACGGGAGGCAGCAGUAGGGAAUCUUCGGCAAUGGACGAAAGUCUGACCGAGCAACGCCGCGUGAGUGAAGAAGGUUUUCGGAUCGUAAAACUCUGUUGUUAGAGAAGAACAAGGAUGAGAGUAAAAUGUUCAUCCCUUGACGGUAUCUAACCAGAAAGCCACGGCUAACUACGUGCCAGCAGCCGCGGUAAUACGUAGGUGGCAAGCGUUGUUCGGAUUUAUUGGGCGUAAAGCGAGCGCAGGCGGUUUCUUAAGUCUGAUGUGAAAGCCCCCGGCUCAACCGGGGAGGGUCAUUGGAAACUGGGAGACUUGAGUGCAGAAGAGGAGAGUGGAAUUCCAUGUGUAGCGGUGAAAUGCGUAGAUAUAUGGAGGAACACCAGUGGCGAAGGCGGCUCUCUGGUCUGUAACUGACGCUGAGGCUCGAAAGCGUGGGGAGCGAACAGGAUUAGAUACCCUGGUAGUCCACGCCGUAAACGAU
rnacentral:rRNA from 1 species